GAAGACUAUAUAAAGGGAACCUAAACCCUAAAGCGGGAGAUCGACACUUCGAGACUUAGAGACUAGGGCUAGACGGCUAGAAUUAGGGUUCUUACUCAUAUCAUUGUAAUCCUAGUUUGUCUACUCAAUAAAACAUCUCUUCAUGUCUUUAUCUCUACUAUAUCUCUCAAAAUCAAUAAAAAUACCUGCCUUGUCCAUCGUUCCGUUGUACUCACAAAGAUCCUACACAAAAAUCCCCUAACAGACGUGCCACUGUGAACGUGCCACUUUAUUGAUAAGGGUUGGCCAGGAUCGAAGGUCUCUGAAGACCUGAUCCAGCUCGUAUGCCCCUUUAAGUAUAGUGAUUUUUCUACUGCCCUUAUAGUCGGAACUAUUUUAUUAUAAGCUUUGUCCGGAGAUUUUUAGCAUACAUAGGAGUAGGAAAUCAUAAUGCUUAAAUAGUAUAUAGUAAGAUAAUAGAAAUCAUGGCCCGGAGACCGUAUUAAAAAAUGAUAGGAUUUAAGGUGCAAGGCGUUCCAGCAGUUGGGUUGUAUUUUAUCUUUGCUAUCUUGUAGCCUGUAGGCUCCUACUCUCA
rnacentral:lncRNA from 1 species